UUGCUGUGCUGGUUAGAACAGAGCAUUCUYCGGACUGGUGAUCACGCRUSCUUCCCGUCGACRUGGAUCGACUCCGCGCUCUGAAGGACGUAAGUCAUAACACAUGGUAACCGUGAGAAGCGCUCCUCCAGUGGGCGCUAAUACCGCAUACGUCCUGAGGGAGAAAGUGGGGGAUCUUCGGACCUCACGCUAUCAGAUGAGCCUAGGUCGGAUUAGCUAGUUGGUGGGGUAAAGGCCUACCAAGGCGACGAUCCGUAACUGGUCUGAGAGGAUGAUCAGUCACACUGGAACUGAGACACGGUCCAGACUCCUACGGGAGGCAGCAGUGGGGAAUAUUGGACAAUGGGCGAAAGCCUGAUCCACCAUGCCGCGUGUGUGAAGAAGCUUCGGAUUGUAAAGCAUUUUAAUUGGAAGGAAGGCAUAAUUAUACUUGCUGUUUUGACGUUACACAAAAUAAGCACGGGUAUUCGGCCAGACCCCGUAUACAAAGGUAA
rnacentral:rRNA from 1 species